rnacentral:rRNA from 1 species
GAUGAACGCUGGCGGCGUGCCUAAUACAUGCAAGUCGAGCGAACAGACGAGGAGCUUGCUCCUCUGACGUUAGCGGCGGACGGGUGAGUAACACGUGGAUAACCUACCUAUAAGACUGGGAUAACUUCGGGAAACCGGAGCUACUACCGGAUAAUAUAUUGAACCGCAUGGUUCAAUAGUGAAAGACGGUUUUGCUGUCACUUAUAGAUGGAUCCGCGCCGCAUUCGCUAGUUGGUAAGGUAACGGCUUACCAAGGCGACGAUGCGUAGCCGACCUGAGAGGGUGAUCGGCCACACUGGAACUGAGACACGGUCCAGACCACUACGGGAGGCAGCAGUAGGGAAUCUUCCGGAAUGGGCGAAAGCCUGACGGAGCAACGCCGCGUGAGUGAUGAAGGUCUUCGGAUCGUAAAACUCUGGUAGGAGGGAAGAACAAAUGUGUAAGUAACUAUGCACGUCUUGACGGUACCUAAUCAGAAAGGCACGGCUAACUACGUU